rnacentral:rRNA from 1 species
GCAAGUCGAACGGUAGAUUCUACUUCGGUGGAAUUGAGAGUGGCGCACGGGUGCGUAACGCGUAUGCAACCUACCCUUAACAGGGGGAUAGCCCGAAGAAAUUCGGAUUAAUACCCCAUAGUAUUACAGAUUGGCAUCAUGAAUAAUUAAAGGAUUUAUCGGUUAAGGAUGGGCAUGCGUAACAUUAGAUAGUUGGUGAGGUAAUGGCUCACCAAGUCUACGAUGUUUAGGGGUUCUGAGAGGAUGAUC